AGACCAUUACUACUCGUAGUAUAGAUAAAUUAUCGCCACGUUUCUAAUUUCAUUUCUCACACUUGACGUAUUACCUAGUUCUCCCGUAUACAAAUAUUUUGGGUGCCCGGAUAAUUUAUUUUAAUUUAUUGUCGUAUGGGUAUACUGAAAGCCGAAAUAAUCAAUAGUGUAAAUUUUGCAAAUAUUUUAGAAUUUUCGAAUCGUUCGGACAGGACGUAUCUAAUACCUUUACCUACAGUACACUGGAUAGUACUCUUAGCAACAAAUUAAGCAGGCGCCUAGACCUGUACAAAGGCAAAUGCGCAAUAUUUCAGACACCAAACUGAAUUUGCAUUCAAACAAAACCGGUCGCUGAGAAAACUGCAGAAGCAAUUCGGAGAAAUGUCAUCAACCAACUAUUUAGGUUUAGAAUUUUUUGAAAGAAAAAUCAAAUUGCUGCAGGUAUUUUUGACCCAUGUGGUUUAAUCUGGUGUAACUUGGGUUGCAUAACUGCACACGUGAAGAAAUCAAACUACUCAAGUAUCGCACUAAUACCUACUCGAGAACAAAAUAUUCCCCCAUGAGGGAAGCAAUAACCGCAGAUGAUAUGAAUUUUGAAAUGAGAACAAACCGGUUCACCUAUAAACAUAUGUACUAAGUAUAACAAUAAUUUUUGUCUGAAAUCAAAUUUGAACGAGAUAUACUUACCUACUUGGGUAAGAAAAUCAAGUUUCAAAAAUUGACUUCAUCCUUCCAGUAGACAUUACCUACUUUGGAUCAGGAUUAGGACUGAUCGGCUUUCUCAAAGCCCUACUCAUGCUUAUAAUUAGAUAUUUUUUCAUUACCUAACUAUAGAUACAUUCAUCUUCUAACAAUAAACUCAGCUUCUUCAAAUUUGAUACUGAGAAAAACAAUUUAUAUAUACCUAAUAACAAAAUGUAAUUCACAUAAUGAAUAUGUAUCUGAUUCGAGCUAAUAUUAUAUUAAUGAUGAACAUUACUCAAUAUCUUCAAACCAACCAACCAAUAAAAGGAAUUGGUUUAAUAUUAAAACAUUAGAAAUCCUGCAGCACA